rnacentral:lncRNA from 1 species
CCAGGGUGUUUCUUUAACCAACAAUAGUUGGGGAAAAAAAAGAAAAAGCAUGGUGUUACAACAGUGAAACCAUUUACAUUUUUUCUGCUGCUAGAACAAGACUCCUUUCAGAUUUCUGGUGGCUUCUUUCCCAGGGCCAGCAGGCCAGUGGGAACAGGGAGCAAGAACCUGAAGAGGGCCAGAGCUUAUGGGUCUGGGCCACAAUGCUUCUCCACCAUAUGUCGUCCCUUGCUCACAGAGGAGAAAGUUCUCUCAUCUGCUGAACUUCAGCAUGAUUUGCCCUCCUGCACCCAGCAGCAGAGCCAACUGGAGUGCACCUUCUGGGAUACCCUCCUGGGAUACAGUGCGUGUGCCAGCUCCUGCUCUACCUGUGAUGUCCCCCUCUGCUUUGAUCCUUGCUGCACACCCACCAUGGGGCUGCCCUGCCCCAGCCUCUGCCCUCCUUUACCUCUUGGCAUCCUCUGAGCAAACUCAUCUUUAUCCAAGGCACAGUCUGCAGAGCCUGCAGAUGCCCUGCAGGAGGAAGAUGUCUACAUCAGUGGAGACAGGAGAGUGCUGAAAGCACAAGGACAUUCCUUUUCAACCUGAUUUAAGCUUUGGCUUUAAGCUGUGUUACCCAUUCAGCUGGACUCCAGUUAGACUGUCUCAUUGAGUGUGAUCCAUGGAAACUGGGUGAUUUCAGACUUGUAUCACAUUUAGUUCUGGAUAAUAUUUUGAUCACGUAUAAAUGAGUACAAGAUUUGUAUAGAUGAGUACAAAAAACAGAUACACAGCUCAUAAGGCACUAAUUAGAAGCCAGGGAAGUGGAAGCCUAAGAAGCAAGUGCACUCGGUGACAGGGCCAUCAAUAGGUAUGUUAUCAACAAAUUAUCUUCAAAAAGUAGCAUCAAAAUGGACUGAGGUAUGUCUAUUACACUGCUACCAUAUGAGUAGAAGCAAAGUUAGUCAGACUAACACUUCAAGUGCUUUAUUAAGGCCAAGUGAAUGAUGUGGAAGUAACCAUCAAUAAUUUAACCAUCAAUUUCCCCAAGCACCAAGGGAUUUAAAUUUUUAAGCAAAUGCACUUUGACUAAUUCAUGGGACUGGAUUUAUAAUGUGAUAAAAUUAUUACUGAAACAAUUUGAAUGGUAAAGGAUGGCUAUUAAUUGAACACUGUUAAACUGCACUGAGUUGUGUGUCAUUUGUCCCUUAGAUAUAUUUAUGCCCUGCACCAAAACUCUUCUGCUGUGGGCAUGUUCACAUCUGCAUGUUCAGACAUGCUUGCCUUGCAUAGCCCAGUCUAUGUGCUUGCUACGUUUGCAUGCACACAAUCUCCUCCUGCCAUAAAUGCAAAGAAGUUAUUGAAUCAGUCUAAAUUGUUCUGAUACUUACAUUUCUUUUUCCUCAUAUUUUAUCAGUCUGUGCUUGUGCUUAUCUUGUUAUUAUCUGGUUGAUACCAUAGGUGUGUGGCCGUUCUAGAGUCUGCUUGUCUGGAACAAGCAUGCGUUACAACAAGUAACAGAAAAAAAACAUCCUGACUGGUAUUUCACACUAAAUUUUAUGCACGGCAAGCAUAUGGUG